UACGUAGGGUGCAAGCGUUAAUCGGAAUUACUGGGCGUAAAGCGUGCGCAGGCGGUUUUGUAAGUCUGUCGUGAAAUCCCCGGGCUCAACCUGGGAAUUGCGAUGGAGACUGCAAGGCUGGAGUCUGGCAGAGGGGGGUAGAAUUCCACGUGUAGCAGUGAAAUGCGUAGAGAUGUGGAGGAACACCGAUGGCGAGGGCAGCCCCCUGGGUCAAGAUUGACGCUCAUGCACGAAAGCGUGGGGAGCAAACAGG
rnacentral:rRNA from 1 species